UGCAGCGGCGGCGGUGGGAGAGGCUGGGUGAUGGGAAUGUCAUCUGCGAUUCCAUUAUCUCCUCCUGCCUGCCGCUUUCUGGUUCCUUGUGAAACCUUCAUCAAAACCUGGCGAUCUAAUUAGGACAAUUAGAGCGCGCGGACAGCUGAAACCCGCCCAGAGCCGCAGCGGCGAGAGGGGCACCCGGCUUUGGGGCGGGGUUUGAGGGGUUUUUGGGAUUAUUUUGGCUCUGCGGGGGGGGGUGGAUGGGAUGGGGGGAGGGUCUCAGCCCCCCGGAGAUGCUUUUGGGGUGCACGGCCCCAAGAGUGACCUCAGGGCUGUGUCCAGCCAGGGGACAGGGAGGCUGUGCGUGCUGGUGACACCGCCGUGUGCCACCUCGCUGGCUGUCACCGGGGGUCUCAGCGCCUCGCUGGGGGCAGCUGCCACCCCUGCCCGUGUCACACGCUGUCCCCCAUGCCCGGGGUGCCUCUCGGCUCGGGGAUCCUCAUUGGCAUUCGGCGGGCGCGCCGCGGCAGCUGGCGGGUGGCAGCGGAAUGACAGCGGUGACAGGGAGAUAUUUGCAUCGCCUCGGAGAUAUUUGCAUCGCCUCGGAGGCCCUUCCCGGAGGGAUGGCAUUUGUCAGCGGCGUUAUGGAUGCAGCGCGUCCCCUCUCCUGACACCGCCUGCCCAUUAGCGGGAGCACAUCCCGCUCCUCCAGCCCUGCCCGGAGCAGCUCCAGGCGCAGGAGCAGAGAUCCAUCUUCCCGGCGGGCCCCGCCACCGCCCCGCUCCCCAUCGGCAUCCGCCGCCGCCGCCUCCCGGUCCGAGUCCUCGGGGCCGCGGCCUUGAUUGCAUCCUGGUGCUCCCAUAAAUCAGCGAUCCCAUAAA